ACGAACGCUGGCGGCGCGCCUAACACAUGCAAGUCGAACGAGAGAGAGGGAGCUUGCUUCCUUGAUCGAGUGGCGAACGGGUGAGUAACGCGUGAGGAACCUGCCUCAAAGAGGGGGACAACAGUUGGAAACGACUGCUAAUACCGCAUAAGCCCACGACCCGGCAUCGGGAAGAGGGAAAAGGAGCAAUCCGCUUUGAGAUGGCCUCGCGUCCGAUUAGCUAGUUGAUGAGGUAACGGCCCACCAAGGCGACGAUCGGUAGCCGGACUGAGAGGUUGAACGGCCACAUUGGGACUGAGACACGGCCCAGACUCCUACGGGAGGCAGCAGUGGGGAAUAUUGCACAAUGGGGGAAACCCUGAUGCAGCGACGCCGCGUGGAGGAAGAAGGUCUUCGGAUUGUAAACUCCUGUUGUUGAGGAAGAUAAUGACGGUACUCAACAAGGAAGUGACGGCUAACUACGUGCCAGCAGCCGCGGUAA
rnacentral:rRNA from 1 species